AUGGCUUUCCUGGUGGCUGGGACCCUGCAGGCGGCUGCGCUACUGGCAGACACUCGCGACAGCUUGGGGAGAAAGGGAGAGUACAGCGUGCAGGGCCCGAGGAUGGCCCUGGUACUCAGCAGUCCCGGGGUGUCUGCCGCUACAAUCACUGCCCUGGAGGACGUGUUCCAGGCCUUGGGCUUUGAAAGCUGCCAGAGGAGGGAGGCCUUGGUCCAGAACUUCCUGCAGCAGCUAACUUCAUUCAGGAAGCACCUGGAUGCCCUUGGAGGUCCUGUGAGCUGUGCCCUCGUGGCCUUGGUGGCCCCACGUGGGCAGCUCAAGCAACCCCAGAAGCUGAUCUGGGAGCUGAGCUGUUGUGAGGUCCUCCAGGGCUGCCCCAAAGUCUUCCUGCUGCUUUCAAGUGGCCCUGAGGCCGCCCCAGUAUCUGGGCCCUUCCUCGCCAGCCUCCGGGAGCUCUGUGGCCGCUGUCCUCACUGGUCACUGCUGCAGCUGCUGACAGAGCUGUUCUGCAGGGUGACUGAUGAGUGUGGGGGGAAUGUCUGCUGCCCAGUCUUCCGGAGCUCUUUGAGAGGGGCACUGUGCCUGGCAAGCGACGAGUCCUGGAGGCUGGAGGCAGAACCCGCUCCCAGUGCUCAGUACGACAUGGCCGGGGCCAGGGCUGCCCUUCUUCUGGCUGUGACCCGAGGCCGGCCGGGAGCCGAGCAUGAUGUGGAGGCUCUAGGGGGCCUGUGUCGGACCCUGGGCUUCCAGACCACCUUGAGGAUAGACCCCACGGUCCAGGCGUUUUGGGAGGAGCUAGCCCGGUUUCAGGAGCAGCUGGACUCCCACCAGGGCCCUGUGAGUUGUGUGCUUGUGGCCCUGAUGGCCCAUGGCGGGCCACGCGGGCAGCUGCUGGGGGCUGAUGAGCAGGAGAUACAGCCGGAGGCGCUAGUGCAGGAGCUAUGCUGCUGCCCGGCACUGCGGAGCUGUCCCAAGAUCAUCCUGGUUCAGGCAUGCCGUGGCGGGAACAGGGAUGCUGGCAGGGGGUCGAGUGCUCUGCCCUGGUACCGGCGCUGGCUGUGGACACCCCCGACCCUCCCCUCCCAUGCAGAUGUGCUCCAGGUCCACGUUGAUGCUCAAGGUGGGUCCCGUCUUGCAGAGCCGAGGCUCAGAAACCUCCAGAGAUCAUUCCAGGGGUGUCUGCAGAGAUCCUGCUGCCGAGACACAGGAAAGGAAAAGUCUUCCUAGAACCCACGGGCCUCUCUCUGGGAAGGCCUAGCACCAAAGCUGGAAUCAGCCAGGCAAACUGGCUCUCCUGAGCUCUCAUGCCUGUCUCGCCUGCCCUGGAGCCAGAUGUGGGGCACCCUGGGAUGGAGGAGUCCCAGAGGUUACUCUUUCUGCAGGUGGCUGUCUCAGGGGUCCCACUUCAGGGAGCUGCAGCCAAGCAGACAUGCUGAUGGUCUACGCAGCCUCUGAGGCUUCCACCACCAAUCGGCCCUUGGGAAUCUGGGAAGGCGAAGGUAGGAGGCCUGGUCUGAUCCAGACUCUGGGUCCUUUGGUGUAGGCUGUGUGGCCUAUCGGGAUGAGAAGGGCUCUGACUUCAUCCAGACCCUGGUGGAUGUCCUCAGGGCGGACCCCAGGAGAGACCUCCUGGAACUGCUGACUGAGGUGAACAGGCGCGUGUGUGAGCUGGAUGUGCUGGGGCCCGACAGCGAGGAGCUGCGCAAGGCCUGCCUGGAGAUCCGGAGCUCGCUGCGGGGCCGGCUCUGCCUGCAGGUCUGAUGGUAGCGGCUUGCCCCAUCCAGCCCUGCUGUCCUCGCCUGCCGGUGGCCACCUAGGCCGGGU